rnacentral:rRNA from 1 species
UACAGAGGUCUCAAGCGUUGUUCGGAUUCAUUGGGCGUAAAGGGCGUGUAGGCGGCGCCGUAAGUCGGGUGUGAAAUCUCGGGGCUUAACUCCGAAACUGCAUUCGAUACUGCGGUGCUUGAGGACUGGAGAGGAGACUGGAAUUCAUGGUGUAGCAGUGAAAUGCGUAGAGAUCAUGAGGAAGACCAGUGGCGAAGGCGGGUCUCUGGACAGUUCCUGACACUGAGACACGAAGGCCAGGGGAGCAAACGGG